UUGGACUUGAAAUCCUAGAACUUAGAGAGAGAAGCUCCGAAGCAAGCUAAGCCUCCACAAGUUCUUCCAAGAUCUCUCCGAGCAUCCCGUCGGACUUCAGCAAACUCCGAUCAUCCCAAGUCUGAUCGUCCAUCAAAGGGAGAAGAUUUCCUGACCAAGUCAUGGGCUUAUAAAGUAAUAAUAAGUAUGAAUCUUCGGAGACUCAAGGAAGGGAAGGUAAUAUGAUGAUCAUUAAUCACAGAAUUGGCUCCAGAUACAUCAAUCUGGAUGUGAUACAAUUGUAAGAGAAAUUGGGUGCCUAAUAAGACAAAUUGGGAGAGUACUUUGACCAUAAUAAAUGAGGUCUUAAGACAAUGUCCAUUAUUAAAGAUUGUAGCAAAUGAUAAUUUAUAUUCAAUUUGCAUUUUGAAUC